UGCCAGCAGCCGCGGUAAUACGGAGGUUGCAAGCGUUGUUCGGAUUUACUGGGCGUAAAGGGAGCGCAGGCGGCUAGGCCAGUCUGAAGUGAAAGCCCGGGGCUCAACCCCGGAAGGGCUUCGGAUACUACCUAGCUUGAGUACGUGAGAGGCGAGCGGAAUUCCAGGUGAAGCGGUGAAAUGCGUAGAUAUCUGGAGGAACAUCGGUGGCGAAAGCGGCUCACUGGCACGAAACUGACGCUGAGGCUCGAAAGCUAGGGUAGCGAACGGGAUUAGAUA
rnacentral:rRNA from 1 species